rnacentral:rRNA from 1 species
UACGGGGGGGGCAAGCGUUGUUCGGAAUUACUGGGCGUAAAGGGCUUGUAGGUGGCCAACUAAGUCAGACGUGAAAUCCCUCGGCUUAACCGGGGAACUGCGUCUGAUACUGGAUGGCUGGAGUGUGGGAGAGGGAUGCGGAAUUCCCGGUGUAGCGGUGAAAUGCGCAGAUAUCGGGAGGAACACCAGUGGCGAAGGCGGCUUCCUGGACCUGUUCUGACACUGAGGAGCGAAAGCGUGGGGAGCGAGCCGG